ACUCCUGCAGUCUCUCCCUUGAGGAGCUUUCUCCAUUCUGCUUACUUCUUCUCAACUGGAAGUCUUCACUGAACUCCCAGCAGCUGAAGGCCAACAGGAAAUGUGCAGUAUGGGGCAUUGACUGGAAUUUCACAUGCUUCGGGCUGACCAGUGGGGGAGGUCCAGUCAGUCCGGCAGGGACCCAUUACCUGAGAUCAUACCCCUUCCUUUGACCUGAGGAAAAGGAGAGAGUGUUAAAAAAUGAGAAGAAUUUGGGAAUAAUAGAAGGAAUGUCUGCAAUGCUGGGCCUGGCUGCACCACCCUGAGUGAUCAGGCCUCUCACGUGAACUGGAUUCUUGCAGGUGAAGGGGAGACUCCAAAACCAGGUGUGACCACUUAUUGGGGAUGCUUACCACAAGAAGCAUUGCGGUCACAACACAGGUUAUUUUAUCACCACUACAACCCUGUGGCAUCAACUUGCAGAAAAAUGGACUGUGGCUCAGAAGGGUGAAAUUAACUUGCUCAGACCAUGAAGACUGAAAUGGUCAAACCAGAAUUUGAAUUAAG